GGUCUCUCUCUCUUGAAGGGCAUGUGCACGCUUGUCAUCUUUAUUUUUCCAACUGUGCACAUAUUGUAGACCUGGAGUCGUCUUCUGCUGAUUCAUUUCGAGUUGGCACUGCAGUGCUUUUUCACAACAAAGAAAAAGUCUGCUUUGCCUUUUGCAUUUCCAGGUCUAUGUCAUUUUUCACAACCUCAAUGUGUUUAGAAUGUUGAAUCAGGUCCUUUUUGUACCUAUAAAAGUUAAAUAUACAACUUUCAGCAACGGAUCUCUUGGCUCUCGCAUCGAUGAAGAACGCAGCGAAAUGCGAUAAGUAAUGUGAAUUGCAGAAUUCAGUGAAUCAUCGAAUCUUUGAACGCAUCUUGCGCUCCUUGGUAUUCCGAGGAGCAUGCCUGUUUGAGUGUCAUUUCAAGUUCUCAAACCGCAUCAAUUUCUUGUUGGUGUGGCUUGGAUGUGGGGGACUAUUCAUUUUGCAGGCUUCUGUCAAGGAGGUCGGCUCCCCUGAAAUGGAUUAGUAGUAUCUGAGCUACUUACAGGUGUGAUAAUUAUCUAUGCCUUCAGUAUGCUGCAUAAACAGAUGGCACUGCUUCCAACGAGUGAAAAAAAAACCCUUGAAGGGGUUUCCACAUUUGACGAAUUUGACCUCAAAUCAGGUAGGACUACCCGCUGAACUUAAGCAUAUCAAUAAGCGGAGGAAAAGAAACUAACAAGGAUUCCCCUAGUAACUGCGAGUGAAGCGGGAAAAGCUCAAAUUUGAAAUCUGGCGGUUCUUGAACUGUCCGAGUUGUAAUCUAGAGAAGUGUUACCUGU
rnacentral:rRNA from 1 species